GGACCAUCAUGUCGGUCGUGCCUCGGUACGUACUGAUUUUAUUGGUUUCUCCCUUCUGACGAAUCAUGAUGUCAUUAAUUUGGUGUCGUGGAGAAUCAGGACUGUUACUUUGAAAAAAUUAGAGUGUUUAAAGCAGGCUCACGCUUGAAUACAUUAGCAUGGAAUAAUGAAAUAGGACGUUUGAUUCUAUUUUGUUGGUUUCUAGGAUCGACGUA
rnacentral:rRNA from 1 species